GAUGAACGCUAGCUACAGGCUUAACACAUGCAAGUCGCGGGGCAGCAUGAACUUGGCUUGCCAGGUUUGAUGGCGACCGGCGCACGGGUGAGUAACGCGUAUCCAACCUGCCCAUGUCCACGGGAUAGCCCGUCGAAAGGCGGAUUAAUACCGUAUGAGGUCACACGAUGGCAUCAGACUGUGACGAAAGGUUUUGCGGACAUGGAUGGGGAUGCGUCCGAUUAGCUUGUUGGCGGGGUAACGGCCCACCAAGACGACGAUCGGUAGGGGUUCUGAGAGGAAGGUCCCCCACAUUGGAACUGAGACACGGUCCAAAACUCCUACGGGAGGCAGCAGUGAGGAAUAUUGGUCAAUGGGCGUGAGCCUGAACCAGCCAAGUAGCGUGCAGGAUGACGGCCCUAUGGGUUGUAAACUGCUUUUAUAAGGGAAUAAAGUGAGCCUCGUGAGGCUUUUUGCAUGUACCUUAUGAAUAAGGACCGGCUAAUUCCGUGCCAGCAG
rnacentral:rRNA from 1 species